UACGUAGGGUGCAAGCGUUAAUCGGAAUUACUGGGCGUAAAGCGUGCGCAGGCGGUUCUGUAAGAUAGAUGUGAAAUCCCCGGGCUCAACCCGGGAAUUGCAUAUAUGACUGCAGGACUUGAGUUUGUCAGAGGAGGGUGGAAUUCCACGUGUAGCAGUGAAAUGCGUAGAUAUGUGGAAGAACACCGAUGGCGAAGGCAGCCCUCUGGGACAUGACUGACGCUCAUGCACGAAAGCGUGGGGAGCAAACAGG
rnacentral:rRNA from 1 species